rnacentral:rRNA from 1 species
UACAGAGGUCCCAAGCGUUGUUCGGAUUCACUGGGCGUAAAGGGUGCGUAGGCGGUCGGGUAAGUCCGAUGUGAAAUCUCACAGCUUAACUGUGAAACUGCAUUGGAUACUAUUCGGCUAGAGAGUUGGAGGGGGGACUGGAAUUCUUGGUGUAGCAGUGAAAUGCGUAGAUAUCAAGAGGAACACCAGUGGCGAAGGCGAGUCCCUGGACAACUUCUGACGCUGAGGCACGAAAGCUAGGGGAGCAAACAGG